GUUAAGCGACUAAGCGUACACGGUGGAUGCCCUGGCAGUCAGAGGCGAUGAAGGACGUGCUAAUCUGCGAUAAGCGUCGGUAAGGUGAUAUGAACCGUUAUAACCGGCGAUUUCCGAAUGGGGAAACCCAGUGUGAUUCGUCACACUAUCAUUAACUGAAUCCAUAGGUUAAUGAGGCGAACCGGGGGAACUGAAACAUCUAAGUACCCCGAGGAAAAGAAAUCAACCGAGAUUCCCCCAGUAGCGGCGAGCGAACGGGGAGCAGCCCAGAGCCUGAAUCAGUGUGUGUGUUAGUGGAAGCGUCUGGAAAGGC
rnacentral:rRNA from 1 species